GAAACUAGCGUUUUAUUUUAUUUCAUCGUGCCUUUUGAAUGGGCUAGAUGGAGGUUAGAUUUGUUUUGAAUAGAAAUCAAAAUUCACUGAUAUACUCUCUUGUUUAAUAUUCAACACGUGCUUUCUUUUUUAUAUAUAUUUAAUAUGUUAAUUAUUAGCUUAUGCAAAGUAUUAUCUUACUAGUUCCAAAUAACAAAACACGUGAUAUGUAUGUCUUGACAUUUGUCAGAAUUUAAAUACAUAUCAUAUACAUCUUUGUAUAUUAAAUUUUCGAUUGUUAUUUUUAUUUUUUAUUUUUGACAUUUCAAAUAAUUACUAAAUAAUAAUCAAAUUUAUUCUUUUGCAUGUGACUGUGUAAAAUCAAUGCUCAUAUGUUACUAUUUAAAAUAGUACUUGCAGGUUAAAGGCUAAUGAAGACAAUGGAGAUGAUGAAACACAGUCAAAAGAUAAUCAAAAAACUGAGAAAGAUUCACUACCUCCUAUAGAAAUUAAUCCAAAUGAGCACAAAUUACAAUAUGC